GAAAUGCGAUAAGUAAUGUGAAUUGCAGAAUUCAGUGAAUCAUCGAAUCUUUGAACGCAUCUUGCGCUCCUUGGUAUUCCAUGGAGCAUGCCUGUUUGAGUGUCACGUAAACCCUCACCCUUGCGAUGUAACAGUCGCYCGUGGUGGACUUGGACUGUGCCGUAACYGGCUCGUCUUGAAAUGCAUUAGCUGGCGCUUUUAGAGUGCUGGGCGACGGUGUGAUAAUUAUCUGCGCCAAUGCCUURGGCCUCUUCAGCGGUGCUGCUUACAGCCGUCCCUCUGUGGACACRUUSUUUUWAAGCUUUGGCCUCAAAUCAGGUAGGACUACCCGCUGAACUUAA
rnacentral:rRNA from 1 species